AGUGGCGAACGGGUGAGUAAUAUAUCGGAACGUACCCUAGAGUGGGGGAUAACGUAGCGAAAGUUACGCUAAUACCGCAUACGAUCUAAGGAUGAAAGUGGGGGAUCGCAAGACCUCAUGCUCGUGGAGCGGCCGAUAUCUGAUUAGCUAGUUGGUAGGGUAAAAGCCUACCAAGGCAUCGAUCAGUAGCUGGUCUGAGAGGACGACCAGCCACACUGGAACUGAGACACGGUCCAGACUCCUACGGGAGGCAGCAGUGGGGAAUUUUGGACAAUGGGCGAAAGCCUGAUCCAGCAAUGCCGCGUGAGUGAAGAAGGCCUUCGGGUUGUAAAGCUCUUUUGUCAGGGAAGAAACGGUGAGAGCUAAUAUCUCUUGCUAAUGACGGUACCUAAAGAAUAAGCACCGGCUAACUACGUGCCAGCAGCCGCGGUAAUACGUAGGGUGCAAGCGUUAAUCGGAAUUACUGGGCGUAAAGCGUGCGCAGGCGGUUUUGUAAGUCUGAUGUGAAAUCCCCGGGCUCAACCUGGGAAUUGCAUUGGAGACUGCAAGGCUAGAAUCUGGCAGAGGGGGGUAGAAUUCCACGUGUAGCAGUGAAAUGCGUAGAUAUGUGGAGGAACACCGAUGGCGAAGGCAGCCCCCUGGGUCAAGAUUGACGCUCAUGCACGAAAGCGUGGGGAGCAAACAGGAUUAGAUACCCUGGUAGUCCACGCCCUAAACGAUGUCUACUAGUUGU
rnacentral:rRNA from 1 species